GUAAACAUUCCUGCAAGGGAAAGGGAGAAGCUGGGGCCACCACAGUCUUCUGAGCCUUCAGGCUUAGAUCGAUUAAAUGGGGCUGUUUUCUCUAGAGUGUGGGGAGAACAGACUAUUUAUGGAGGCGCUCUCUGGGUAUUAAAACAUUGUUGCGCAAAUUCAAAUGGCUGGGGUUUGGUGUUUCAUCUCAGCUAGCUGUGAGAAACAGACCCUGAAAACAAGCCAGGGAUACAGGGAGAAUGAUCUUCCCUCCGAGUAAAAAAUCACAGGAAGAAGAUGAAGGUGUCUAAAAGAUCACUCAGUGGCGACACUUCAACAAACGGUAAGAAGAAGAAAAUCAUGAAGGGAAAAACAAACAAACAAAAAAGCCACAAAAAGAAAAGAGAAACAUCAGAAGCAAAUGAAAUGCCCAAGAGAGAAAUACAGGGCACAGCCUGACUAUGAGGCGAACAGCAAGUCACAGAAGAAGAAACUCACGGUGAAGCAAAAUGAGGAAUGUGGGCCCUCAUUGGUUCUUUGUCCCUGCACCCAACCCUCUCCUCCAUCUAAACCUGGGCUCUAAUGCCUCCAUUGGUACCCAGUAGCCUCCUUCCAGGCCCUUUCUCCACACUCUUACCUCACCAGAUGAGCACCAGUGACUAGGUACGUAUCUGUGUGACCUGCCUAUAUGGAUCUUCCGCUCCCUUGUCUUUGAGAACUGAGGACUGCUUUGCUCCAUCUUCCAUCUGUCCUGAUCCAUUUCAUUUUCGAUGAAGGCUGACUCCUCCCAGACUGCAACCAGUUGAGUUUUCUGUCCUACUUUAUGCUGAUCUUCCAGAAUCAAUCUAACUAAUGACAGUUGUUCAUCCCUAAGCACUUUGCCUGAAUCCUUAUAGAUGGAGCUGCUUGUGCUGUGUACCUAUCUCAGAAGGUAUAUCUUAUCUGUUAGGUGGGUCUGUUAUUUCCUUAAGAAAAAUCUAGUGAAACCACACCAUCGACAUAUAGUAUACAGCCUUCAGUACUCAAAAUUACUAUUUUGGAAAGUAGCAGGUUGCAGCUAUCAAUCCAUAAAGUACUACUUUGAAUAUAAAGAAAUCAGUAUAAUUUUAAAACCAUCUUUAAAAGAAUCAGUGAGGAAUUUAUGAGUCUUGUAAUAGUUCUGUUUUGGGGAUUGAAGCAAAGGAUUCUGAGUAAUAAAAUGAUAGCAAAAAUGGAAGUUGCAGACACAUGGAAAUAUAUUGAAAACAGCUAAGCAUGUCUCUUGCUAGACAUAACACAAAAAAUAUACACUUACUUACAAGCUGUUCUUCAGCAGUUAGGUCAUAUUUCUAGCUAAGAAUACCCAGCAGAGAUGAAUAAUAACUGGCAAUCAUCUUUCUUUCUCCUACUUAAACUCUUUAUGCUAGAACAGCAACAAAGUCUACUUCAAACUAGCCAUGCAUGUAAUUAUGGGGUGGGCUUGUGUUUCCUCAGUAGCUUCUUUUAGUUUCCUAUCAAGUGAAAGAGUAAAACAAAGUUAAAAUAAACUUGUGCCAAACUAAUUCUUAUAUCAUUUUUUUGGGACAAUCAUAUAAUGUUACUCAGGGAAACAACCCACUUUUGGAAUUUUAAUUACAGGUUAAAUAAUUACUGUUUUUGCUUCCAUGAAACAACAGCUCCCCUUACUUUGAACUUUCAUUCUCUGAAAACAGCAGCUGCUCCUACGUCUUCCUUCUCUACUGUGAAUGUAGUCUUGUAGGAAUACUAGUGCUUGAAGAUGUGUUUGUAUUAUUUGUUUAUUUAUGUAUGUAUGUGUGUAAUGUCACGGUGUGUUUGUGUGUGUGUAUAUCCAAGAAGGUGAGAAGGCAUUUGAACCCCUGGUGAGGGAGUUGCAGGAGGUUGUGAGCCCCUUGAUGUGGGGAAUGAGAACUGAACUUAGGUCCUCUGGAAGAGCAGAAAGGGCUCUUAACUGCUAAGUCAUCCCUCUGCAUAGUUUUUUUUUUUCUUUUUUCUUUUUUAUUCUCACAUUUUAGUGUUUCUGAUCCUAAUAUUGAAUAGAGGAAGUAGCCUGCACUCAAAGUCCAGUAAAUACACUAUGAACUGUUUUUCACUCUCAUUUACUUUCUUUCUAAAAUAUUUGCUUUAAAUUUAUUUUUAUUUCAUGUGUGUGGAUGUUUUGCCUGUACAUACAUGUGUUUCUGUCCUGUGCCUGGUGCCCUGGGAAGCCAGAAGAAGGUAUCUGAUCCCUUGAAACUGAGAGUACAGACUGUUGGGAACUACCAUGCAGACUCUGGAAUCAGACUCAGGCCCUCUGGAAGAGCAGCCAAUUCUCUUAACCACUGAGCUAUCUCCUCAGCCCCUUUAUUUUACCUUCAGUCUACCAAUCUAGAAUUUCUUUUUAUAGACAGUAUUAAAGACAUAUUAUAGUCUAGCUGAGAGAAAAAUUCACAGCUUUAUACUGUACACAAGUAUAUAUCUUUGAAGACUUAUGCCUAUUUUUGCCAUUUACCUUAAAUAUAGCAAACAUAAAAUUAUCAUUAAAUACUACUUAAAGCAUAAAUUGUUCUCACUUAGAGUUACAGGAUUAAGAAAGUCAGAGAAAGGCUUAGGUGGCAUGGCCUAGUAAUUCAGUCCUGAGCUCUGUGAAGCUUAAUUUCUCUUACUAGACAGUAAUCACUUUGACAUUACCACCCAUAUUUACAUAAUGAUCACAGAGUCACUACAGACUCUGGGAUGCCACCCUAAUAUGCCCACAGUGACUGCACAGCUGAGAUUAACCAUGAUCAGAAUGUACAGAUUUAGUUUGGACGAAACCAGGAUUUAAAAACAAAAUAGAAAACAACAACAACAACAGACUGAUAGGCUAUCUCAGCCUGAAACCAGCUACACAGUGUGUUGAAGGGCCAAACACUGGGGAAAUUAGUCACUUGGCUGUACUUGGCAUUCUGUGACAUAUGUCUAAACUAUUGGUUAAAAUAAAGUCUAAUCCUAACUUUGUGAUGACUGAAAAAAAUAGUUUAAGUAAAUAAAUAAUAAGUAAAU
ensembl:antisense BB365896 expressed sequence BB365896